rnacentral:rRNA from 1 species
CGGACGGGUGAGUAAUGUCUGGGAAACUGCCCGAUGGAGGGGGAUAACUACUGGAAACGGUAGCUAAUACCGCAUAACGUCGCAAGACCAAGAGGGGGACCUUCGGGCCUCUUGCCAUCGGAUGUGCCCAGAUGGGAUUAGCUUGUAGGUAGGGUAACGGCUCACCUAGGCGACGAUCCCUAGCUGGUCUGAGAGGAUGACCAGCCACACUGGAACUGAGACACGGUCCAG